ensembl:lncRNA
UUUUAUUUACAGACAGUAUUUCCUGAAGGAACUGCUGCUGUAAGUCUAGCAGGCUCUCCUAGUUUGUCUAGUCAGUCACAUUCUGUGAGCCCUGAAGGAAGCGCAACAUACCUAACUCAGGAUAACAGUUCACUCUUCCAUCUCGUCCAAAGAUCACCCAUUGAAAUGCUUGGUCAGAGGUCAUCCCACCCCACUCGGAGUGGAUCAAAGGUGACAGGGGCUGCCAAAGGAAAGUUUGAGCCUUGUCAGGUUGAUACUUUGUUGCUAAGCAGGAUGACUGGUGUCUGUGUUGUCAUGUACAUUUUAUUCCAGCUGGAAUGAGAAAUGUUAGUUUAGCUCCGCUAUGCAGUUGUUUGGGUGGGAUCUUGCAAAAUUGAGAGGCUUUUGCUGAUGGUUCCAUAAAAUGGGAAAAUAAGAUUUCUUUUGUAAUGUGGCUUGUCCCUCACAUCUAUGGUACUGCAAGCAGGGGCAUCAAAAGCUACUCUGCUAUUCCAGAAGCUACAGAGAAAGCAAACCCAGAGAGGGGUACCACAGGAUAGAACACAUGCUGUGAAACCCUGUAAGUCUACCGUUCAUGCUGGCCCACAGACUGGUGAGGUACCAACUUUGCUGCAGGUCCCUGAAAAAGAAACAGUUAGAUGAAGUUUCCCUCUCAUCUUGUUUUAUGUUCUUGAAAACUCGACCAUAUGGAGGUACACUCUCUUGGUCUCUACCAUCUGGACGUUGGGAAUUUUCAACUUCAUGUCAUGGCUAGCUUUAAGAAUUCUCUUAAGCAGUGAAAAUCCUUUGCAAGCUCAAAGACGAUUACCUUAGAGUACUUCUGGGAAGAGCGAUGGUGACUGCCCCAUACUGUGACUCACUAACUAAGGCUUUGUCCUUUCAUGAUGGUGACCAGUGUUCAAUUCCUAACUGAGGGAAGGAAUCCUGAUUUAAUACUUGUAGGACUUUUGCCAUUGAUUAUUUUUCCUGUCAUAGAUACUUCUGAUUUCUUGUCUUGAAUUUUCUUUUCUCUGAGCUUGGGGCAACUCUAGAUCUUGUAAAAACUGCUUGCCAUCUCUUUAAAGACAUCUCAUGCAUCCAUGGUUGUUAUAACCUUAGCUAGAGCUUAUUGGUUUCAUGUGGGAGGAGGUUACUUGUGGUCAAAAAUUCAAAAGCCUGAAAUACCAGCUGUUUGUCCUGGCUAACGUCUGCUAAUAGAAUAUUUAAAAAGAUUUUCUUCUGAGAGGUCAGUAGUUAAAAAUUAACUGAAUUAAUGUUUAUAUUUUGGAUAUAUGUGUACAGAUAUUAUUUUAAAUCCCCUGCUCUUCUUUUGUAAAAACCUCUCAGACAACUGAAUUCUGUUUCCCAUUUACUACUGUAUGUUUUUCCUUGCUCUUGUAUCCAAUCUUUUUGACUUUUGUAGACAGGGGAACAAGAAAUUACUUUGCAUCAUGAGAAAAAUUAACCUUGAUGUAUAAUAGUUAGAUAAGAAAUACACUUUUAAAAAUGACUGAUGGCAGUUGCUUACAGUGGCUAUUUAUUAAUCCAGGAUGGCAUUCCUUUCUUUGAGUGUGUACAUAAGAAAAGCAUGCUCUUGGAUACUGACAAAGUAUAGAAUAGGAUAUGAGCUAAUUAAAGAGUGGCCUAAUUGGUGUUGGGUUGCCCAGCAGCCUAGAGGAAAUGUCCUUUCAAUAAGAUACACUGUGAAAGUAUUGCACUAUCUUCUCCCAUAGCAUUUCCCUUUUGGGGGGCCGCAGCGUUUGCUGUAAAAAUUAGAUCCUUAUCUUGUGGAUCUGUUUUGCCUUCCAGCUAUACCUGAUAAUUAGGCCCUCCUGACCCUUUUCCCCAAAAGACUCCAUCCUAAAGCCAAUAACCUAAUCAAGAAACUUAAGUCUUUAAGGAAAUCUCCAUGUGUAAGAGUGUCUGGUUUUCCUGGCCAUCUUGACUGAACUUUUACCCAUACCAUUUUUCCUUGGUGUAAAUAAAAUAUGAAUUUUCUAUUUUGCUUCACUUAAGAAUUAUCCCUUUAAAGAUGCAAAUUUGGAAUUGCAUGCCUGACAAUUGUUAGGGCCUGGAACAGGUAAUCAAGAGACUGAUGGUCUAACAUAAGAAAGAGAAACUUAAAAAACAGUCAAAUAACAAAUCUUAUCACUCUACCAAAUCUGCUUCUGUCUGUGUACUUGAAUGUGUCAUGUGUGUGAUGUUUCACUAUCAAAAUAUAUGAAAAAGCUCUAAUUAAUUGGCUUAAAAAUAAUAAGUGCUUAAAUAAAAUAUUUUGUCAGGAAAAUAAAAGCCUAAGUGCCCUUUUGUUCACGUCACUCUAAUAAUCUUUGAAAAAUAAAGACAGUUUUAAAGAAUUUUGGUAAAACUAAAAUGUCUCCAAAAUGUACACAUUUUGUCUGAAUGAGGCAGGUCAGGUACCAUUUUUUUGCUAGAUGCUCUAAGGUUAUAACACUGCUCUGUGACUUUUAAUUAUUAUUCAACUUGGCUGCUUUGGAGCCAUUAGAUUCUAGGUAAUGCCUGGGGACAUGUGGAGUAGCCAUGCUCCCUACCAGUGAUGGAAAGAGUCUGACACUAUCUGCAGUUCUAUCCUGUGUCAUAGGCUCUACACAUGAUACACAAUUAAAAUUGCUUCCAUUUAAAAUAAGAGUUAUGUGUUAUUAAUUAAAAGGUAUAGGAACAUGUUGUUUUCAAAAGUAAUUUUGUCUUAUUUAGAGAAAUUAAGGAUUGUUUCAAAUAUUUAAAAAAUAUAGGAUAAAACUGAAGGUUUAAGCAAGUUGUAAAAGGUUUGGGAAAGAGUAAUCUUGUUUAAAAAAAUUCUACGUGGAGCAAGUUGGAUAAAAUUAAAAAUAUAUUAUUUAGUUUUUCCAUAAAUUGAACAUCAAAAUAAAAGCACACUGAUGCAGGGCCAGAAUCUGAGCUCAUGGGUCUCAAUAACAGGGUUUUCUUAGAGCAUUAAUCUGCUCUUUAACAGAAAAUUGUAAAGUGUUAUAAGAGAUUUAUGGAAAUAUUACCAUAUAGUCAAACUGAUUAAGAUUGGAUCCAUUUGUUUACAAAGUUUUAUUAGGAAUUGAGUUAAUAAUAUACUAAUGCAAAGGUGAAAUUUGUCUUUUUCUUUUUAACAAGAUUUUCAUAUAAUAUUAAAAGAUAAAGAAAGAUUUUUGUUUGCUUUUUGAAUAAAUUACAAGAAAAAGAGGGGAGAGAGAAGACAGAUGAGACAAAUUCAGUUGGUCUCCUGCUGUCUUUAUCGGGUCUUGUUUUUUGGAAAGCUUUGUCUGUCCUUUAUCUAUGAGUAUAGGUUUUUGCUUUAAAAACCUUUGAAAAGUUUUAAAGUAUCAUUUUGGCUAAUAAUUUAACUUAUAUUGACUUUGGA